GUCGCUGACUUCUGGACUCCAGCCCCCAAAUUUGCUUCACAGGCUUGGGACGGGGCACAGUAGUUUGUGUUCCUAAGAAGUUCCCAAGUGGUGCUAAUGCUGCCGGUCCGGGGACCACAUUUGAGAAGCAUGGGUGUAAUCACUGCUCCUUCUCUCCCCGUAUCUCACUCCACCCCAAUCCGAGUGAGAGUCGAAGGAAACCUGAAGCUGAAGCCUGCAGUGUUCCCACCGCCCGCUCACCAAGCUCAUCAUCUGACUGGUGAGUGAUCUCGCUCCAAAUCCCAACUUAAAGGCUGCUUUCUAGGCUCUGCAGCACAGCUGCUCUGGUCUGAGUCCCUCUGACAGGCAUGCUGGAGACAAGGACCUGGAAGUAUACAGUUCAUUGGGAAGGCAUCUCAGAAAACAGAAGGAAGGUCAUGGGAAAGAACGACGAAAAAGAGUUCCUGGACGAUGAAGACUGUGUUACCAAGUUGGUUACUACCGCGAACAACGGAGAGACUCUCUCCCUGUGGUUACUAUCUGAGGAAUCACGUAGAAUUUGCCCCAGAAUUAACCCCCCAGAGAAUGGGGAGCUGGAGCACCUAAAUCCCCUCUCAUCCCUCAUUAUUUGAAACUUCUUCCUGAGACGUUAAUUCCUUCAUACAUUUUGUGAUCCUGCAAGCCCACAGGUUCUUUCCAUUUCUUUUCCACAGAUGGCUCUGGCUUGAUCUGCCAAAGACCCACCCAGGAAUCCUGACUCACUGAAGAGGGUGGAGAUUUUCUGAGCAAAGGGAGGUUGUUUUCUCUUCCACCCCCUCUGAGGCAGCUCCCGGAGCCAACCCCUAAAGCCAGAAUCAGAUAACAGGAAUUCAAACCCUGGCUUCACUCUGAGCUGUGAGGUCCAAGACCUCCAGCAUCAGCCAGUUUCACUGAGUCACUAAGAGUCUAGGAGACUCCAGCAGAUACUGGAUUCAGAAAUCUGCGUAUGGACCAGCCAGGAGGCGUGUUGUAAGGAAUAGAAACUGGCAGCCACAAACAAACAAAUAAUACAUUGUACAGAUAUCAAGUAGCUCCCAGAAUUGGUGGAGAGACUUCGCAAACGGACAGGCACAAGGAGAGGCUGGAAGGGAGUACGGCCAUGGCCAGGCCCAGAAACAGCCGUCACUCGCAGCAGAGGUGACAUUUCUGCCCCGGGCACGGCCAGGCUGCCCCACCACUGCCCUGAAUGGCGUCGGAACUGUUUCCACAUAUUCGUAUCACAAAUUUCAGACCCAGAGCCUCCAGGGAGGAUGUGAUCAGGGCCAGUCUGUUGCAGGUAGAUGAGGCUGCGUCUGUCUCCCUUGGUUUGCUUAUUUGGACAAGGAGCAUUUCUUCUCACACCAGAGAGCAUCCUCUCCAAAACAGAACCCGUCCUCAGCUGCGGGUACAGACAAAAAGACGGCCGCCCGCAAGCACGUCUACGCUGAGUCACAGCUCAAACGGCGUCAAUCUUUGCCAGCGGAGGAACCCUUGUUCCUGUUGGCGUUUCUUAUUUUAUUAUUUCGGAAUAUAGGGAGGCUCUUCCCUUGGUCUGUGCCGUUGAUGAAUAACUUUCAUUUCUACAAAUGCCAACUAAAAAUAUGAAAAUGUUCUAAACAGUUUUUAAUUAAAAAUGAAAUUAGUUUUACUGAAACUUAAAAUAGAAGUACAUUUCUCGUGUUUAUGGUAUGGAAAGACGUCAAGAAGAAUAUUCGUAGUACUUGAAGCCAUUAAAUAUUAUGUCUGUGUAAUUGAGAAACAGCAGGAGAUGCUGUCAUAUAUAUAGCACUUCUAACGUGUUCAUACCGUACACGCAGUAUUUUGAAUUUUCAAAGUGAGUUUAUAUAGAUUAUAUAUUUUCAUCUUUGAAACAAACUAUGGAG
rnacentral:lncRNA from 1 species